rnacentral:rRNA from 1 species
GGACCUGACUGCUAUCGGAUUGAUACUAAGCCAUGCGAGUCAUUGUAGUAAUACAAGGCAGACGGCUCAGUAACGCGUAGUCAACCUACCCUAUGGACGGGGAUAACCUCGGGAAACUGAGAAUAAUACCCGAUAGAACAUUAUGCCUGGAAUGGUUUAUGUUUCAAAUAAUUUAUUGCCGUAGGAUGGGACUGCGGCCUAUCAGUUUGUUGGUGAGGUAAUGGCCCACCAAGACUAUUACAGGUACGGGCUCUGAGAGGAGUAGCCCGGAGAUGGGUACUGAGACACGGACCCAGGCCCUAUGGGGCGCAGCAGGCGAGAAAACUUUGCAAUGUGCGAAAGCACGACAAGGUUAAUCCGAGUGGUUUCUGCUAAAGGAACCCUUUGUCAGUCCUAGAAACACUGAUGAAUAAGGGGUGGGCAAGUUCUGGUGU